rnacentral:rRNA from 1 species
CAAGGAAUCUUCCGCAAUGGGGGCAACCCUGACGGAGCAACGCCGCGUGGGGGAUGACGCCCUUCGGGGUGUAAACCCCUUUUCUGCGGGAAGAAGGUGGGGCAACCCACUUGACGGUACCGCAGGAAGAAGGACCGGCUAACUACGUGCCAGCAGCCGCGGUAAUACGUAGGGUCCGAGCGUUGUCCGGAAUCAUUGGGCGUAAAGCGCGUGUAGGCGGCUUCGAAAGUCUGGUGUGAAAUCUUGGGGCUCAACCCCAAGCGGUCACUGGAUACUUCGAGGCUUGAGUCCGGAAGAGGAGAGUGGAAUUCCUGGUGUAGCGGUGGAAUGCGCAGAUAUCAGGAGGAACACCAACGGCGAAGGCAGCUCUCUGGUACGUGACUGACGCUGAGACGCGAAAGCGUGGGUAGCAAACAG